ACGAACGCUGGCGGCGUGCCUAACACAUGCAAGUCGAGCGAGGACUUCGGUCCUAGCGGCGGACGGGUGAGUAACACGUGGGCAACCUGCCUCAUAGAGGGGGAUAGCCUCCCGAAAGGGAGAUUAAUACCGCAUAACAUCAAGACUUCACAUGAAGACUUGAUCAAAGGAGCAAUCCGCUAUGAGAUGGGCCCGCGGCGCAUUAGCUAGUUGGUGAGGGUAACGGCUCACCAAGGCGACGAUGCGUAGCCGACCUGAGAGGGUGAUCGGCCACAUUGGAACUGAGACACGGUCCAGACUCCUACGGGAGGCAGCAGUGGGGAAUAUUGCGCAAUGGGGGAAACCCUGACGCAGCAACGCCGCGUGAGUGAUGAAGGCCUUCGGGUUGUAAAGCUCUGUCUUUUGGGACGAUAAUGACGGUACCAAAGGAGGAAGCCACGGCUAACUACGUGCCAGCAGCCGCGGUAAUACGUAGGUGGCAAGCGUUGUCCGGAUUUACUGGGCGUAAAGGAUGCGUAGGCGGAUUUUUAAGUGAGAUGUGAAAUACCCGGGCUUAACUUGGGUGCUGCAUUUCAAACUGGAAGUCUAGAGUGCAGGAGAGGAAAGUGGAAUUCCUAGUGUAGCGGUGAAAUGCGUAGAGAUUAGGAAGAACACCAGUGGCGAAGGCGACUUUCUGGACUGUAACUGACGCUGAGGCAUGAAAGCGUGGGUAGCAAACAGGAUUAGAUACCCUGGUAGUCCACGCCGUAAACGAUGAGUACUAGGUGUAGGAGGUAUCGACCCCUUCUGUGCCGCAGUUAACACAAUAAGUACUCCGCCUGGGAAGUACGAUCGCAAGAUUAAAACUCAAAGGAAUUGACGGGGGCCCGCACAAGCAGCGGAGCAUGUGGUUUAAUUCGAAGCAACGCGAAGAACCUUACCUAGACUUGACGUCCCCUGAAUUACUCGUAACGGAGGAAGCCCUUCGGGGCAGGGAGACAGGUGGUGCAUGGUUGUCGUCAGCUCGUGUCGUGAGAUGUUAGGUUAAGUCCUGCAACGAGCGCAACCCUUAUCAUUGGUUGCUACCAUUAAGUUGAGCACUCUAGUGAGACUGCCCGGGUUAACCGGAAGGAAGGUGGGGAUGACGUCAAAUCAUCAUGCCCCUUAUGUCUAGGGCUGCACACGUGCUACAGUGGUGAAUACAAUGAGAUGCAAACCCGUGAGGGGGAGCAAAACUAUAAAAUUCAUCUCAGUUCGGAUUGUAGGCUGAAACUCGCCUACAUGAAGCUGGAGUUGCUAGUAAUCGCGAAUCAGCAUGUCGCGGUGAAUACGUUCCCGGGCCUUGUACACACCGCCCGUCACACCAUGAGAGCUGGCAACACCCGAAGUCCGUGAGGUAACCGUAAGGAGCCAGCGGCCGAAGGUGGGGUUAGUGAUUGGGGUG
rnacentral:rRNA from 1 species